ACUAAUCUCUUAAAGACGGUGAAUGAUUCACCGCUUUAGUAAAGAGCUUAAUUUCUCAGAAAAGCGGUGAAUCAUUCACCGCCUUUCACUUGUUUAUUAUUUUUUUCUAUAAUCCUAACAACCAUAUAAAUAUUUCAACAAAUCACAUAUAAUUUUAACAACCUAAAAAUUUUAAAAUCUAUCCAUAUAAUCCUAACAAUUAAAAAGAUGCUAAUAAUCUAUCUAUACAAUCGUAAUAAUCAAACAUCACAUAUAAUUUUAACAAUUUGAAAAUCCUAAUAUUAUAUCCAUAUAAUCCUAAGAAUCAAAAAAAUUUUAAUAAUCUAUUCAUACAAUUCUAACAAUCAAACAAAAAUUCUAAUAUUCCACACACAAUCCUAACAACCUCACUUUUUUAUUUCCCGUAUAAUCUAUAUACAAUUUUAACAACCUCAUUUUUGCUCUUUCCCAAAAAAUUAUGAAGAAAACGGUGAAUGAUUCACCGCCUUUAAAANCUAAGAAUCAAAAAAAUUUUAAUAAUCUAUUCAUACAAUUCUAACAAUCAAACAAAAAUUCUAAUAUUCCACACACAAUCCUAACAACCUCACUUUUUUAUUUCCCGUAUAAUCUAUAUACAAUUUUAACAACCUCAUUUUUGCUCUUUCCCAAAAAAUUAUGAAAAAAACGGUGAAUGAUUCACCGCCUUUAAAAGAACUUAAGAUACUUUCAGAAUACGGUAAAUGAUUCACCGUGUUUUGAGAGUUAAUUUACCAAAUAUAAAUUUGAUAGGGUUAUUUCGCAAAUUAUAAAAUUUUAGAUGGUUAUUUUGUAAAAAAGUCCGAUGGAAGACCGAUGGAAUGGGGCAAAUUAAUUACGCCUUGAGAAU
rnacentral:lncRNA from 1 species